GACGUAGGGCGCGAGCGUUGUCCGGAUUUAUUGGGCGUAAAGAGCUCGUAGGCGGCUUGUCGCGUCGUCCGUGAAAACCUGCAGCUCAACUGCAGGCUUGCGGUCGAUACGGGCAGGCUAGAGUUCGGUAGGGGAGACUGGAAUUCCUGGUGUAGCGGUGAAAUGCGCAGAUAUCAGGAGGAACACCGGUGGCGAAGGCGGAUCUCUGGGCCGAUACUGACGCUGAGGAGCGAAAGCGUGGGGAGCGAACAGG
rnacentral:rRNA from 1 species